UACGUAGGGUGCAAGCGUUAAUCGGAAUUACUGGGCGUAAAGCGUGCGCAGGCGGUUUUGUAAGUCUGACGUGAAAUCCCCGGGCUCAACCUGGGAAUUGCGUUGGAGACUGCAAGGCUAGAAUCUGGCAGAGGGGGGUAGAAUUCCACGUGUAGCAGUGAAAUGCGUAGAUAUGUGGAGGAACACCGAUGGCGCAAGGCAGCCCCCUGGGUCAACACUGACGCUCAUGGCACGAAAGCG
rnacentral:rRNA from 1 species